ACCCAAUUUUCUCUUCCCCAUCCUAAGAAAACAAAGUCAAUAAUCAGAAAUCCAAUCCCUAUCACCCCAGAGAAGGAAGGAUUUAUAAAGGCAUGAACAAAUAAAUCAACUCUUUGAAAUACAUGGUUAAAGCAGAGCAUAUUCAUUUAAAGCACAGAAGUGAAACAAAUUAUGCACAUGCAUGCAAUUUUCAUUACCUACAACUGAACUUCCAGAAAACAGAUGUCAUAUUGUGGAAAUUAAACAACACAAUACUUCAGCCAAUGCACCAUUAUGUACAAUCAGCGUUCAACA
rnacentral:misc_RNA from 1 species